rnacentral:rRNA from 1 species
UACGGAGGAUGCAAGCGUUAUCCGGAAUGAUUGGGCGUAAAGCGUCCGCAGGUGGCUGUGUAAGUCUGCUGUCAAAGAGCAAAGCUCAACUUUGUAAAGGCAGUGGAAACUACACGGCUAGAGUGCGUUCGGGGCAGAGGGAAUUCCUGGUGUAGCGGUGAAAUGCGCAGAUAUCAGGAAGAACACCCGUGGCGAAGGCGGCUCUCUGGGACGGUACUGACGCUGAGACGCGAAAGCGUGGGGAGCGAACAGG